UUGGAGGGCAAGUCUGGUGCCAGCAGCCGCGGUAAUUCCAGCUCCAAUAGCGUAUAUUAAAGUUGUUGCCGUUAAAAAGCUCGUAGUUGAACCUUGGGCCUGGCUGACCUGUCCUCCUAAUCGAGCGCACGGGUUCGGUCGGGCCUUUCCUUCUGGGGAUCCCGAUGCCCUUCACUGGGCGUCGUGGGGAACCAGGACUUUUACCUUGAAAAAAUUAGAGUGUUCAAAGCAGGCCUUUGCUCGAAUACAUUAGCAUGGAAUAAUAGAAUAGGACAGAGGUUCUAUUUUGUUGGUUUCUAGGACCGCUGUAAUGAUUAAUAGGGAUAGUCGGGGGCGUCCGUAUUCAAUUGUCAGAGGUGAAAUUCUUGGAUUUAUUGAAGACGAACUACUGCGAAAGCAUUCGCCAAGGAUGUUUUCAUUAAUCAGUGAGCGAAAGUUAGGGGAUCGAAGACGAUCAGAUACCGUCGUAGUCUUAACCAUAAACUAUGCCGACUAGGGAUCGGACGGUGGUUUUUUUAUGCCCCGUUCGGCGCCUUACGGGAAAC
rnacentral:rRNA from 1 species